GGCUCAGUAACACGUGGAUAAUCUGCCCUUAGGUCAGGGAUAACUUCUGGAAACUGAAGUUAAAACCUGAUAUGGAAAUUCUACUUGAAUGUGUUUUUCCGUAAACGUAAGGCCUAAGGAUGAGUUGGCGGUCGAUUAGGUUGUUGGUUGAGGUAAUGGCUCACCAAGCCUAUGAUCGAUAGGGGCCUUGAGAGAGGUAMCCUCGAGAAGGGCAYUGAGAUACUUGGCCCUAGUCCUACGGGGUGCAGCAGGCGCGAAACCUUUACAAUGCGCGAAAAUGUGAUAAGGGAAUCCCGAGUGCCCUGCUUUUAGUAAGGCUUUUGCCAUGUGUAAAAAGCAUGGCGAAUAAGUGGUGGGUAAGACUUGUGCCGGCCGCCGCGGUAACACCAGCGCCACAAGUGGCAACCGCUUUUAUUGGGCCUAAAGCGUCCGUAGCCGGUUCGGUAAAUUUCCUGUGAAAUCGUUGGGCUUAACUUAACGUUGUGCAGGAAAGACUACUGAACUUGGGACCGGGAGGCGUCAGAGGUAUUCUUGAGGGAGCGGUAAAAUGCUAUAAUCUCAGGAGGACCACCGAUGGCGAAGGCAUCUGACGAGAACGGAUCCGACCGGUGAGGGACGAAAACUAGGGGAGCAAACCGGAUUAGAUACCCCGAGUAGUCCUAGCUGUAAACUCUGCGAGCUAGGUGUUACGUAUUCUUCGGGAAUACGUAGUGUCGUAGCGAAGGUGUUAAGCUCGCCGCCUGGGAAUUAUGGUCGCAAGACUGAAACUCAAAGGAAUUGACGG
rnacentral:rRNA from 1 species